rnacentral:rRNA from 1 species
GUCGAGCGAACAGACGAGGAGCUUGCUCCUUUGAUGUUAGCGGCGGACGGGUGAGUAACACGUAGGUAACCUACCUAUAAGACUGGGAUAACUUCGGGAAACCGGAGCUAAUACCGGAUAAUAUUUCGAACCGCAUGGUUCGAUAGUGAAAGAUGGCUUUGCUAUCACUUAUAGAUGGACCUGCGCCGUAUUAGCUAGUUGGUAAGGUAACGGCUUACCAAGGCAACGAUACGUAGCCGACCUGAGAGGGUGAUCGGCCACACUGGAACUGAGACACGGUCCAGACUCCUACGGGAGGCAGCAGUAGGGAAUCUUCCGCAAUGGGCGAAAGCCUGACGGAGCAACGCCGCGUGAGUGAUGAAGGUCUUCGGAUCGUAAAACUCUGUUAUUAGGGAAGAACAAACGUGUAAGUAACUGUGCACGUCUUGACGGUACCUAAUCAGAAAGCCACGGCUAACUACGUGCCAGCAGCCGCGGUAAUACGUAGGUGGCAAGCGUUAUCCGGAAUUAUUGGGCGUAAAGCGCGCGUAGGCGGUUUUUUAAGUCUGAUGUGAAAGCCCACGGCUCAACCGUGGAGGGUCGUUGGAAACUGGAAACUUGAGUGCAGAAGAGGAAAGUGGAAUUCCAUGUGUAGCGGUGAAAUGCGCAGAGAUAUGGAGGAACACCAGUGGCGAAGGCGACUUUCUGGUCUGUAACUGACGCUGAUGUG